rnacentral:rRNA from 1 species
CUACGUGCCAGCAGCCGCGGUAAUACGGGGGGUGCGAGCGUUAAUCGGAAUAACUGGGCGUAAAGGGCACGCAGGCGGUGACUUAAGUGAGGUGUGAAAGCCCCGGGCUUAACCUGGGAAUUGCAUUUCAUACUGGGUCGCUAGAGUACUUUAGGGAGGGGUAGAAUUCCACGUGUAGCGGUGAAAUGCGUAGAGAUGUGGAGGAAUACCGAAGGCGAAGGCAGCCCCUUGGGAAUGUACUGACGCUCAUGUGCGAAAGCGUGGGGAGCAAACAGGAUUAGAUACCCUGGUAGUCCACGCUGUAAACGAUGUCGAUUUGGGGAUUGGGCUUUGAGCUUGGUGCCCGUAGCUAACGUGAUAAAUCGACCGCCUGGGGAGUACGGCCGCAAGGUUAAAACUCAAAUGAAUUGACGGGGGCCCGCACAAGCGGUGGAGCAUGUGGUUUAAUUCGAUGCAACGCGAAGAACCUUACCUACUCUUGACAUCCAUGGAAUCUUGUAGAGAUACGAGAGUGC